rnacentral:lncRNA from 1 species
UAUUGAAAAGUCUACAUUGUUCAUUCCUGAUUAGCAGUCAUCGGCGUAAGACGUGUUUGUAUGUUUGUUAUUGUUUUUUAAUUAUAAAAAAUCAAUAAACUAGUGUUAGAAGCUGUUUUCCGGAAUGCUGAUUUACCAGAGGAAUUCAGUUAUCGUUUAACUGUUUUUGGUGCACGAUUUCCGAUGUCGAGAAGUGUCUGACAUAAUGCCUAGUUCUCAAUGGCUACCAUCCUCUCCGAUCUGCCGUUGGCCGUUACCCCCAUCCACCGUUCACGAUUCCCGGAACCGUUACCGACGAACUAUUGCUAAAAAUGAGAGGCUGGUUGUUGGACAAAAUGCAUGUCAUUCGUUGCCUGCUCGCUGUUCCUGCCAUUCCCAGCCUCCAUGUUCCGCCGUCAGGGGUCGAGCUGUCCAUUGGCGUUUCCAGUACAUUUUGCCGAUCCCGAUAAGUUUGAUGCUGCAACUUUACUCAUCCGAUCCAAAUUGUUUCCUGUGCUGAUGUCAUCAUUCCUGCCCUGCCACCCACGCGAUUGGUUUUUCAAAGCAAUUAUUAAUUGAAAUAAAACAAAACAAACUAUUAUAUCAUUCAA